rnacentral:lncRNA from 1 species
AUGGCAACCCGCAUCACAAAGGAGGCAACCACAAAUUUGGGGCAGGGCAAGGCUGGGUGCCACUUUGCCUGUGAGCUGACUGGAGAGAGGAGCUUGACUGCUUGGCUCUCUCUGCGCAUCACAAGCAUGGCUGCUUUCUGGGGAAUGAGCUUCUUUCUCAGCCUGAAGAAUUACAGUAUCUUCUACCGUAUCCUCUGGAAUGUGCUGAUCAUAUCAUUAGUUGAAUUCAUUAUGGAUUUGUGGAAUCGGAGGGGUGGGAGACCAAGGAGGUACCGCUGCAGAGGCAACGUGGAGAAUCACAGAGUUGUGGACCUCCACAAUGCUUCACAGUGCUCAAGGACACACUGCUUCCCGAUCCUGGAGAGGGAAGAUGCGCGUGAAGCACGCUGUCAGCUUGACAGGAGCCUUGAGGAAUUUCACAGACGCUUGGAAAUGUCAAUCAUUGAGAUGUCAGAGGACUCUCUCAGAUCCAACCAGGCAGUGGAAACCCACUCAUCACCUGAGACGUCUCUGUCCUCUUGGAGUGACAACUCCCUCACUCCGAUUGAGGAAAUGGGAGCUGGGUGCUCUUCAAGGGCCUCUCUGUCCUCCUUGAGCAACAACUCCCUUGCUGCUGUUGUGGCAACAGAAGCCGACUGUACUUUGAGUGCCCCUCUGCCCCCUCCCAGGGAAGGCUCCUGCACUUACGUCAAGGCAGAUGAAGGCAGCUGCAUUUCACAGCUGUCACUCAUCACUCCUCUGCAUGGAGCAGACUUGGGUCAUGCUGCCGUGGCCCAGCCUGACCUCAUGCUUUCAGAUGCUCUUGAGCCCCAAAAAGUCCAGGAGACCUUGGCCCACGUCGAACCACAAAGGAAACCAGAGGAGGAAGUGGGCCUGCCAGCCUGUGGAGAAGGGACUUUGCAGGAAAUCUCGUCUCCUCAGAAGCCUCAGCAACCAUCAGAGCUCGAUGUGGAGGUGGUGCCCAGGGUGCCGAAGCCGCUGUUCCUGGAUGAGGCUGUGAAAAGGCAGCUGGAGCGGCACAUGGUAAAAAUGCAGAUACAGCGGUGCUUUGGGCUACCAGAGAAGGUUCUGGCUUCUUACAAGAAGUUCUCAGAGCCUGUCUGGGAGCUACAAGACUGCCAGCCUCCUCCACAGAGGCACACUGUGCUGCCCUACCGCUCGCCCUUCCAGCGCUGGGACAGCCGUGCUCGCAUCAGGAAGACGGCAGUGCAGCCCCCUGGCCCGCAGCAAGAGUCCACAGCCCCUGUGGAAACAUGCACACAAGGAACACAGACGCCUGUCCACUCUGUGCCAGCAGCUUUUGUGAGAGUGGCAAAAGAGGUGCCUUGUGAAGAUUUGGAUAAACUCCCUCUGAAAAGGAAGUAUGGGGGAACAGUCAGGAGCAGCAACCCAGCCAGAAAGAAGACCCUGCCUGGCAGCCGCACAAAGGAGCAGGGCCCUGGGACAAAAGGGGGUGAUCCUGGUUCCUCCUUUUACAUUCAGGAAGAGCAGACAGUGCCACAGAGAGAGGGAGCUCCUCAGCAGAAGGCAGGACAGGAUGAUGAGACCACCACCCUGACCACCGGGGUCAACACGGGGGUACCAGAGCCAUCACAAUGUAGGACAGCUCCUUCAGGAAAUAAUUCCCUGCAGAUAGAAGACUCUUCCACUAAGGACACUCCCAUAGAUCUGCCACCACCUCCAAGACCUGCAGGGAACAGCCUUCAGAUGCCCAGCCUGGAAGAGAUGCUCAGAGCACUCACAGACCUGGUCAGGGUCAGCACAAUGGCUGAACACCUGCAGAACCAGCUGCUGGCUUCGUGGCUAGAGGAGUCCCAGGACAAUGCGGGGCACCCAAGGUUGGCUGCAGAGCACCCCAUUGCUGCACCAUGCAGAGCACAGAAAGCAGCACAGAAGGGCGAGGGACUCAGGCAGCACCAAAUCAGCUCCAGGAGGCUCUACCCCAAGUGCAGCAAAGCCCCAUGCCACAGUGUGCCUUGCAGUGAAGGCAUGUGCACUUCAGCUCCAGCUGUGGCCGGAGUACCAGGCACAGUAGGAGGAGAGGUGACAGUGGGAGAGAAGAAUCUAGCUGGGGAAGGGCCCAGAAGGGAGCAAGGCCAGAAACAGACUGCUGCUGCUGCCCAGCAGCCAGAGGGGGUCCGUGUAUACCAAUAUGUGGUAGCAAUCCCUGCAGUCAAGCAGAGGACAAAUCUGUCCCAGCAGACACCUACCAGGACCCUGCCAUCACAAACAGAGCACCUGCCCAAAUGUGCAUCAGCCACGCCCAGGAGCCCAGCACCAGAGACAUCACCUCAGCCAAGCUGCUGCUGUGGUUGUCUCAUCCCCAUCCUCCUUUGCCUGCAGAAAGCAUGGGCCAAGCUCCUAGGUGCAGGCAAAGCCCUGUAUUCCAAAAUCUGGUAG